GGUUAAGCGACUAAGCGUACACGGUGGAUGCCCUGGCAGUCAGAGGCGAUGAAGGACGUGCUAAUCUGCGAAAAGCGUCGGUAAGGUGAUAUGAACCGUUAUAACCGGCGAUGUCCGAAUGGGGAAACCCAGUGCAAUUCGUUGCACUAUCGUUAACUGAAUACAUAGGUUAACGAGGCGAACCGGGGGAACUGAAACAUCUAAGUACCCCGAGGAAAAGAAAUCAACCGAGAUUCCCCCAGUAGCGGCGAGCGAACGGGGAGCAGCCCAGAGUCUGAAUCAGCUUGUGUGUUAGUGGAACGGUCUGGAAAGUCCGACGGUACAGGGUGAUAGUCCCGUACACCAAAAUGCACAGGUUGUGAACUCGAAGAGUAGGGCGGGACACGUGGUAUCCUGUCUGAAUAUGGGGGGACCAUCCUCCAAGGCUAAAUACUCCUGACUGACCGAUAGUGAACCAGUACCGUGAGGGAAAGGCGAAAAGAACCCCGGCGAGGGGAGUGAAAAAGAACCUGAAACCGUGUACGUACAAGCAGUGGGAGCACCUUUAUGGUGUGACUGCGUACCUUUUGUAUAAUGGGUCAGCGACUUAUAUUCUGUAGCAAGGUUAACCGUAUAGGGGAGCCGCAGGGAAACCGAGUCUUAACUGGGCGUUAAGUUGCAGGGUAUAGACCCGAAACCCGGUGAUCUAGCCAUGGGCAGGUUGAAGGUUGGGUAACACUAACUGGAGGACCGAACCGACUAAUGUUGAAAAAUUAGCGGAUGACUUGUGGCUGGGGGUGAAAGGCCAAUCAAACCGGGAGAUAGCUGGUUCUCCCCGAAAGCUAUUUAGGUAGCGCCUCGUGAACUCAUCUUCGGGGGUAGAGCACUGUUUCGGCUAGGGGGUCAUCCCGACUUACCAACCCGAUGCAAACUACGAAUACCGAAGAAUGUUAUCACGGGAGACACACGGCGGGUGCUAACGUCCGUCGUGAAGAGGGAAACAACCCAGACCGCCAGCUAAGGUCCCAAAGUCAUGGUUAAGUGGGAAACGAUGUGGGAAGGCACAGACAGCCAGGAUGUUGGCUUAGAAGCAGCCAUCAUUUAAAGAAAGCGUAAUAGCUCACUGGUCGAGUCGGCCUGCGCGGAAGAUGUAACGGGGCUAAACCAUGCACCGAAGCUGCGGCAGCGACACGAUGUGUUGUUGGGUAGGGGAGCGUUCUGUAAGCCUGCGAAGGUGACCUGUGAGGGUUGCUGGAGGUAUCAGAAGUGCGAAUGCUGACAUAAGUAACGAUAAAGCGGGUGAAAAGCCCGCUCGCCGGAAGACCAAGGGUUCCUGUCCAACGUUAAUCGGGGCAGGGUGAGUCGACCCCUAAGGCGAGGCCGAAAGGCGUAGUCGAUGGGAAACAGGUUAAUAUUCCUGUACUUGGUGUUACUGCGAAGGGGGGACGGAGAAGGCUAUGUUAGCCGGGCGACGGUUGUCCCGGUUUAAGCAUGUAGGCUGGUUAUCCAGGCAAAUCCGGAUAAUCAAGGCUGAGGUGUGAUGACGAGGCACUACGGUGCUGAAGUAACAAAUGCCCUGCUUCCAGGAAAAGCCUCUAAGCAUCAGGUAACAUCAAAUCGUACCCCAAACCGACACAGGUGGUCAGGUAGAGAAUACCAAGGCGCUUGAGAGAACUCGGGUGAAGGAACUAGGCAAAAUGGUGCCGUAACUUCGGGAGAAGGCACGCUGGUGUGUAGGUGAAGUCCCUGCGGAUGGAGCUGAGACCAGUCGAAGAUACCAGCUGGCUGCAACUGUUUAUUAAAAACACAGCACUGUGCAAACACGAAAGUGGACGUAUACGGUGUGACGCCUGCCCGGUGCCGGAAGGUUAAUUGAUGGGGUUAUCCGUAAGGAGAAGCUCUUGAUCGAAGCCCCGGUAAACGGCGGCCGUAACUAUAACGGUCCUAAGGUAGCGAAAUUCCUUGUCGGGUAAGUUCCGACCUGCACGAAUGGCGUAAUGAUGGCCAGGCUGUCUCCACCCGAGACUCAGUGAAAUUGAACUCGCUGUGAAGAUGCAGUGUACCCGCGGCAAGACGGAAAGACCCCGUGAACCUUUACUAUAGCUUGACACUGAACAUUGAGCCUUGAUGUGUAGGAUAGGUGGGAGGCUUUGAAGCGUGGACGCCAGUCUGCGUGGAGCCAACCUUGAAAUACCACCCUUUAAUGUUUGAUGUUCUAACGUUGGCCCCUUACCGGGGUUGCGGACAGUGUCUGGUGGGUAGUUUGACUGGGGCGGUCUCCUCCCAAAGCGUAACGGAGGAGCACGAAGGUUAGCUAAUCCUGGUCGGACAUCAGGAGGUUAGUGCAAUGGCAUAAGCUAGCUUGACUGCGAGCGUGACGGCGCGAGCAGGUGCGAAAGCAGGUCAUAGUGAUCCGGUGGUUCUGAAUGGAAGGGCCAUCGCUCAACGGAUAAAAGGUACUCCGGGGAUAACAGGCUGAUACCGCCCAAGAGUUCAUAUCGACGGCGGUGUUUGGCACCUCGAUGUCGGCUCAUCACAUCCUGGGGCUGAAGUAGGUCCCAAGGGUAUGGCUGUUCGCCAUUUAAAGUGGUACGCGAGCUGGGUUUAGAACGUCGUGAGACAGUUCGGUCCCUAUCUGCCGUGGGCGCUGGAGAAUUGAGGGGGGCUGCUCCUAGUACGAGAGGACCGGAGUGGACGCAUCACUGGUGUUCGGGUUGUCAUGCCAAUGGCACUGCCCGGUAGCUAAAUGCGGAAGAGAUAAGUGCUGAAAGCAUCUAAGCACGAAACUUGCCCCGAGAUGAGUUCUCCCUGAGACUUUAAGUCUCCUGAAGGAACGUUAAAGACGAUGACGUUGAUAGGCCGGGUGUGUAAGCGCAGCGAUGCGUUGAGCUAACCGGUACUAAUGAACCGUGAGGCUUAACCUU
rnacentral:rRNA from 1 species